UCAUAGGAUGGCAGUGAGACUCAAAGGAGAGGAUGUGCGAAGCUAAGCAAGGACCAGCUGCAUCGUGCAAAGGUGCCACGGGGGAGUGGUGCGGAGUCAGAAUGGACACGUGGAGUCCCUGAGGACAGGGGAUCUAUGAAUGCACACCAUGUCGGGGGACUGGGUCAAAGGAAAGAUGGCCCAGAGCUUCCAGGUGAAAAUGCAGCAUCCCAGCCCUCCAGACAGUGAGAUUUCAGGCAGAUCGGGGUGUGCGUCUGGAGGAGGCAGGACAUUUUUUCUUCCCUGAAGAUUCUCCAGUCCAAAGAAGCCUGUGGUUCCGGGGGUGGAGAUGGACAGAUGACCCGGGGUGGGCUGCUAACCCAAGAGUGUGUUCUGAGAUGAGACAGCGCAACAGAGCAGCCGAGAGAAGGAGACGGAUUCCCGACUCACUUCCCGAGUUGGCUGCUGGCUGUAGAGCUCUGUUGCCUGAGAGCGGAUGCAUAAAGGAGAACACUAGCCCCUUAAAAUUCACUUGUCUUACAUUUAGAGAGCAGCUCCAAGCCCACAAAGUGCUGUCUCACAGAUUCUCGUUGCGUCUUCACAGCCAGAAGGCAGGGUCACUGCCCCCCCCUUUAAAGAGGAGCACACUGACCCAGAGAAGUUAAGUGACUUGCUCACAGUCACCCAGCUGGCUAGCAGCAGUGCCAGGACCAGAGCGCAGGUGUCUUGAGCCCUACAUGGAAAUCGUUCAUCUUGACACCACUCCCAGUGGAUGGAGGAGCCAGUAGAGAUGCUGCUGAAUGCUCCAUUUUUGUCUCAGGGGAUGAGGACCCCACUCCCAGCUCUAAGCUUGCCCUGGUUGGACUAUGGAAAAUCCUAUCUCCUUUGCCACUAAUUGGCUCAAGAAAAGCCAUUUGACACAAUUCUAGCUAAUGAGGGAUGAGGAAACUGAAGCCCAGAGAAGUAUUUUUACAUCCAUAGCUGAAGUAGAAGUUCCAGGUGAAGCGCCAUACACAUUUGGGAGGCUCCUGAUGUGGAGGACACAGUGGCCGGGAUCACCCUUCUGAAACGUCAGCAUGGCCUCAGGAACCACGUCCUGACUGUCUGGGAGUCUCUCACUCUUAUUCCCAGGGGGACCAAGAUGGGGAAACCAAGGGAAGAGAAGACCAGGUGAAGACAUGAGAAAGACAAGCAAGAGAUAAGGAUCAGCCACCACUCCUUUUACUCCUAAGGAAAUGGAGGCCCACGAAAGAUGAGAGCUACAUGACUAAUGAGUGGUAGAGCAUGGAUUCUGGCCCGGGUCUGCGGGGCUCCCAGCCCAUGCCAGUGUGAACAGAAGGAAUUCCUCUGGAAAGGCAAUUGCAUAUCAGUCCCAGCUCUUCCUGGGGCAGAAAGCUGACACCUGCACUUAGAGAAGGAAGCCAUCCUGUGGGCAGAGGGCCGAGCAUUUCCCCUAAAGCCAUCUCCCUCUUCUUUCAAGCCAGGCUUAAAUAUCCAAACCGCAAAGGAAGAUGAAAGAAGCUUGUUGAUGAAGUCCUCCACCCUGGGAAGAGGAAGAUAAAAAAAAGAGAAAGAAAGGGAAGACAAGAGUGGGGGGGGCGGGGGGAGGAAACAAUCCUUGACAAAUAUUUUCUGUUAAUAAAUUCCAUUUUGC
rnacentral:lncRNA from 1 species